rnacentral:rRNA from 1 species
UGCCAGACUCCUACGGGAGGCAGCAGUAGGGAAUAUUGCUCAAUGGGGGAAACCCUGAAGCAGCAACGCCGCGUGGAGGAUGAAGGUUUUCGGAUUGUAAACUCCUUUUGUUAGAGAAGAUAAUGACGGUAUCUAACGAAUAAGCACCGGCUAACUCCGUGCCAGCAGCCGCGGUAAUACGGAGGGUGCAAGCGUUACUCGGAAUCACUGGGCGUAAAGAGCGCGUAGGUGGCACGUUAGGUCUGGUGUUAAAUGCAGAGGCUCAACCUCUGUUCGGCAGUGGAUACUGGCGAGCUUGAAUGCGGUAGAGGUAAAGGGAAUUCCUGGUGUAGCGGUGAAAUGCGUAGAUAUCAGGAGGAACAUCGGUGGCGUAAGCGCUUUACUGGGCCGUAAUUGACACUGAGGAACGAAAGCCAGGGUAGCAAAUGGGAUUAGAUACCCCCGUAG